rnacentral:rRNA from 1 species
AGCGAACGCUGGCGGCAGGCCUAACACAUGCAAGUCGAGCGCCCCGCAAGGGGAGCGGCAGACGGGAGAGUAACACGUGGGAACGUACCCUUCAGUUCGGAACAACCCAGGGAAACUUGGGCUAAUACCGGAUACGUCCGAAAGGAGAAAGAUUUAUCGCUGAGGGAUCGGCCCGCGUCUGAUUAGCUAGUUGGUGGGGUAACGGCCCACCAAGGCGACGAUCAGUAGCUGGUCUGAGAGGAUGAUCAGCCUCACUGGGACUGAGACACGGCCCAGACUCCUACGGGAGGCAGCAGUGGGGAAUAUUGGACAAUGGGCGCAAGCCUGAUCCAGCCAUGCCGCGUGGGUGAUGAAGGCCCUAGGGUUGUAAAGCCCUUUCGGCGGGGAAGAUAAUAACGGUACCCGCAGAAGAAGCCCCGGCUAACUUCGUGCCAGCCGCCGCCGUAAGAC